CCCCCUAUGCCUCUCAACGAUGCACAAACCUGGGGGU
rnacentral:sRNA from 1 species